ACCUGCCACCGCAGACUCUGGGCAGUGGGCCGUUGGAAGUCCCGCCCCACCAGCGACCCACUCUCACUCGAGAGAGCUCCCGCAGGAGCUGCUGCCACCCAACCUCUGCCAUGUGGGUUACAUAGUCAGACCCAAACCAACCCAGAUAGUGCCUGGUCAGCCUCUUUUGGCGCUAAGGUGUUGGCUUUCAAUGCCCAGUCUUUAGCACUGGCCUCCUGGCUGACCUACAAGUUAAACCUUAGACCCUUCUCGAAAGCAGUUCAUUAACUCCUUGAGCUCUUGCAGCCGGCAGAAAAUUCCUGGUACCAUGUUGAAUUGCUUUCUGGCAAUUUCCAGGAAAUUGCUGCCAGAGCCUCUAGUUACUACUCAUGUGACGACCUGAAUUUCUAGUUUGGCCAUAUACAGACCUGUCACUGAGCCCUUCUUAGGACACCGGUACGAAAAGUUCAGUGGCAAUCCCAUCACCAAAAGGGCACUAAAUUGUCUUCAAACAUAUAUUUUCAGGGAUCUUCAUACAUAAUGCCAGCAGUCUGGUAAAUAGAAAAAGGGCCCGAGAGCUUACCGAUCUGUGCUCCUACACACCCGCGGCCAGUUCUCAUGGCCUUUGAGCUCAGUUUGUGUCACAGGACAAACUCAUUUUCUGUCCUCACGAUCUUAUGCCAUUGCUGCCAGCUUCCUUAUUCUGAUCCUAACCAAAUAUUUCUUUGCAAAUACAAAAAUAUACUUUUCUCUACCUACGCAACCUGUCAAAGUUACCUAAGGUUUUCAUUCCUAUCCUGUCUUAAUAUGAUUUUUACUACUCUCAUUAAAUUCUAUUCGGUUAUAACCAACCUAUAUAGCACUCAAUCCUGUCAGAAGUUUGUUAAUUAUUAAGUUUCUGACAGACAGAAUUCCCAAAAGCCUCUAACAGUUUCUCCCACGAAGUCUCAGAGGAUGUGGGCACAACUACAGGACACUGCCUGGACUGUGAGAUGAUAAUCACUGACAUACACAGUGGUCAACACUGGAUACCCUGAGUCAAAUGACUUGGCUUAAUAAAGGCUUCUGACUACAGGGACAGCUAGAAGAAAACUUUCACAGAUGUAAUCUGUUCUCUCCUUAUCUAAACUCUGUUUCCAUUAAUUAAAUGCUUCAUAUUUCCUCUUCUUGUUAUGCCACUGUCCUAACAUUAUCUGAGUUCCUAUAAAUUUGCCUAACUCUAAUAAAACAUUCCACUAUACAAUCCAGCUUUUCCAAUGCAGACGCUUCUUAUUGGACCAGUUCCUUCCGACCUAUCCUCAGAUGGCUCCACAGACCCUGGACAGCAAGGAAGCAGCCAACUCUCCUAAAAUUGGACAAACAUCUCCCAUACCCAUCCCUCUGGGUUCCCCAGAGACACGUCACCCCAGUGUCAGCAUGAAGCAGCCAGGUAUCACAACGACCCUAUUCCUGCUUCAUUAUCAUCUCUUUCUAAUUUUUUUCUUUUUUAACUAAACCAAAAUGGGGGAAUGUUGGUAUUCUGUCUAAAAUCCACCCCCACAGUUGCCUGGCAACAGCCAGGUAUGCUCCUCCCCAUAGUUACCUGGCAACAGUCAGGUAGGCAUGGCCCACUAUAAAGGGAGCUGCUUGCCCCCUCCUCCCUCUCUUACUCCUGCUUCUCUCCCUUGCCUCUUGCCCCUUUGCUCCCAUUUCCCUCCCCCCUCUCUCCAUGUGGUCAUGGCUGUCCUCUAUUUCUCCACUCUCUCCCUCUCUCUCUUUGCCUUUCUCUGCCUCUACCACCCUCAACUCCCCUCCACAUUCCCUGAAUAAAGUCUGUUCU
rnacentral:lncRNA from 1 species